CCCAGACAGCCAGGAUGUUGGCUUAGAAGCAGCCAUCAUUUAAAGAAAGCGUAAUAGCUCACUGGUCGAGUCGGCCUGCGCGGAAGAUGUAACGGGGCUAAACCAUGCACCGAAGCUGCGGCAGCGAACGUAUCACCCAAGACAACUUUACGGAGUUGACGAUUGACGGAGCGAAGCGACGUCAAAGCGUUCAUUAAAGUCGAGUUGGCUUAGGGAUACGUUCGUUGGGUAGGGGAGCGUUCUGUAAGCCUGUGAAGGUGGCCUGUGAGGGUUGCUGGAGGUAUCAGAAGUGCGAAUGCUGACAUAAGUAACGAUAAAGCGGGUGAAAAGCCCGCUCGCCGGAAGACCA
rnacentral:rRNA from 1 species